UACGGAGGGUGCAAGCGUUAUCCGGAUUCACUGGGUUUAAAGGGUGCGUAGGUGGGCUAGUAAGUCCGUGGUGAAAUCUCCAAGCUUAACUUGGAAACUGCCGUGGAUACUAUUAGUCUUGAAUAUUGUGGAGGUAAGCGGAAUAUGUCAUGUAGCGGUGAAAUGCUUAGAUAUGACAUAGAACACCGAUAGCGAAGGCAGCUUGCUACACAAUCAUUGACGCUGAGGCACGAAAGCGUGGGGAGCAAACAGG
rnacentral:rRNA from 1 species